rnacentral:rRNA from 1 species
GACGAACGCUGGCGGCGUGCUUAACACAUGCAAGUCGAACGGAAAGGCCCUGCUUUUGUGGGGUGCUCGAGUGGCGAACGGGUGAGUAACACGUGAGUAACCUGCCCUUGACUUUGGGAUAACUUCAGGAAACUGGGGCUAAUACCGGAUAGGAGCUCCUGCUGCAUGGUGGGGGUUGGAAAGUUUCGGCGGCUGGGGAUGGACUCGCGGCUUAUCAGCUUGUUGGUGGGGUAGUGGCUUACCAAGGCUUUGACGGGUAGCCGGCCUGAGAGGGUGACCGGCCACAUUGGGACUGAGAUACGGCCCAGACUCCUACGGGAGGCAGCAGUGGGGAAUAUUGCACAAUGGGCGGAAGCCUGAUGCAGCAACGCCGCGUGCGGGAUGACGGCCCUCGGGUUGUAAACCGCUUUCGCCUGUGACGAAGCGUGAGUGACGGUAAUGGGUAAAGAAGCACCGGCUAACUACGUG